rnacentral:rRNA from 1 species
CUUGGUCAUUUAGAGGAAGUAAAAGUCGUAAUCAGGUCUCCGUAGGUGAACCUGCGGAGGGAUCAUUACAGAGACUCUGCCCUUUGGGUAGACCUCCCACCCUGUGUCGUUAUACCUUCGUUGCUUUGGCGGGCCGCGGGGCCCCGGCCCCGCCCCUGGCUCCGGCUAGGGCGCGCCCGCCAGAGGACCUCAAAACCUGAAUGUUAGUGUCGUCUGAGUACUAUAUAAUAGUUAAAACUUUCAACAACGGAUCUCUUGGUUCUGGCAUCGAUGAAGAACGCAGCGAAAUGCGAUAAGUAAUGUGAAUUGCAGAAUUCAGUGAAUCAUCGAAUCUUUGAACGCACAUUGCGCCCCUUGGUAUUCCGGGGGGCAUGCCUGUUCGAGCGUCAUUACAACCCUCAAGCUCUGCUUGGUCUUGGGCGUCACCGGUCCCGGUGUGCCUUAAAAUCAGUGGCGGCGCCAUCUGGCUCUAAGCGUAGUACAUACUCUCGCUACAGACGUCCGGUGGAUGCUGGCCAGCAACCCCCAACUUAUCAAGGUUGACCUCGGAUCAGGUAGGGAUACCCGCUGAACUUAAGCAUAUCAAUAAGCGGAGGA